rnacentral:tRNA from 1 species
GGUUCCGUAGCUCAACUGGAUAGAGCACUUGCCUUCUAAGCAGGGGGUUGCUGGUUCGAGCCCAGCCGGAAUCACCA